UCUCGCUCUCUCCCUGUCAAAUGAACAAAUAAGAUCUUCAAAGAAAAUCACUGUUUCCUGUCACACAUUGUGCUCUCUUUUGAAGGCCAGUGCAUGUAACCCAGAGGACAGUCCUCAAGCGCUCGGGCACCUGGAGGCUGAGGUCUGCCGGCAGCCCAGAGAGCACGUCGCCACCCCCCCAGGUGGUCGACACCAUGAUUCGGGGGAACGUCAGGCAGCCCCCCAGUGUGCUCUGGGGGGUGGGCCGAGGUGAGGAAAGCGCCAGUGAAAUUGCAGCCCCGCUGGCACCGCGAACGAGGUUCCUCUGGGACCUCAGCCGCGGCUGUGAGGGAACAGAGACGCGGAUGUCCCCCGAAGGCCUCUCUCCACGCUGAUGUCAGUCUGGGUGUGUCUGAGUCCCACAGCCCCGACCACUGGUGCCUGGUGCACGGGGGCCAUGUCUGGCAGAGGAGGUGAAGGGAGGGGCUCCCCCGGGCAUGUGUCCGCGCCGGCAGCCGGAGGCCGGGGCGUGGGCCGCUCCGCCGUCACCAGAGUCUCCAGGGGCCCUGGACGGGGCACUGACCUCCACAGAGGAAGCCAGAACAGCAGUGCCCGCUGGGACGAGUCCCCACCGGUCUAUAGCUCAGUAUGGACAUCGCAUUCUACCCCACCUUCUUCCAGGUGAAACUUUAGUUUUGUUAAUUUUGGUAAACUAGGUAAAAUACACAUCAGUUGGACCAUUCUGACCAUUUGGAGGAGCACGGUUUAUGGCCUUAGGCACAUUCACUCCGUCACCUCCACCUCCGGUGUCCUCUCCCCAGAACAGAGGCCUCGUGCCCAAGAGCCGUCCUCGCCGCUCCCUCCCCAGCCCCGUGGACUCGCCUGUUGUGGGCAUUCCGAGAAAGGGAAUCGCCACGUGUGACCUUGGGUUCCGUGGCUUUCUCUCAGCGGAGGGUUUCUGUGUUCAUGCACCACGUAAACGCUCUGUUUUUACUGCAGGGUCUCCGGGGGAAGGAGAGGCGACAGGAAGAACCCCGGCUGGCUGCCUGCGUCGGGGAGUUGACCGGCCGCGCCGCCCCCGGGACGCCCGCCCCCCAGCCAGCCCCUCGCAGGACAGCCGUUCGGUGGGGUCAUGCUGCGGCCACCUGCACAUUGGGGUGCGCACCGCGCUGUGAGUCUGGACAGAUGGUCCCCACAGUCGGGGCGGCACGGCCCUUCCUCCCGCCUGUGCCCCCCGCGCCCCCGGCGGCCGGGUACCCCCGCACAGCCUGUCUGGACUCCGGGCUUCAGGAAUCGUACAGGAUGGGAACCUCUUGUGGCUGCCGUGACAGAUGGCCACGACGAGAGGGACUUCAGAGUGAUUCUUGUACAGGUUUGGGGUCUGGACGUCUGGACUGGUGUCAGCGGGACCAGUAGUUGUUGGCAGGAGGGUUGGGGCCGCUGUGGUCACACGGCUGUGUCCCCUGCACGCCGGCUGCCCUCCUCUCACAGGGGCUCGUGUCCUGGGGCAGAGCCCCUGCCUGCAAGGGGAGCGGCGGUCACAGGUCGGGGAGGGCAGGGCUUUGGCAUGUCUUGGGGGACACAGCACGCAGCCCUCCGAGGCGGCCGGGUCCAGCUCACACCUAUGGUGUGUGUCCCGGAGUCCGUUCCUGUGCCGUGAGAGUGUCGGUGGCUCGUGCCGCCUCCCCAGCCCUGGUCAGGGGCCUCUGUCUCCAGAUGGCCACGGACGCGGCUGUGAAGGUUCGGGCAGAGGUUCUUGGGGAGCACAGUCCUCGUUUCCUCAGGGCCCGUCAUCGGGUGGGGACGGUGGGGUCUCGAGGGCGCACCCUACAGAGUGUCGCUGUUCCCGGGGCGCGGUGCUGCUCUGCGGGCCCAGGCGGGGAAGCCUUCUGCUGCUACAUUUGGCGGGACGCGUUGGUGACGUCACCUGGGCCGCACGUCGUCCCUGUUGUGAUCGAGGUGAAACCCCCACCACCAGUUGGACAAGUCGGCGGCCGCCAACUGUCUGUCUCUGCUUUCAGGAUCGCUUCACCCCCCGGAUGCCCCUCACGGACCCGAGCUCGCUGCCAUCCCCCUCCCCGCCCCCGGGGGCCCCAGACUGCGCGCGUGCGGUAGGGCUUCUCGCUUGCUCCCCGCAUCUCUGGCCGUCGGAGCCCCCGAAGGUGCCGUGAGCGCCGCUGCACAUGCCUCCCGUGCGCGCGUGACUUGCCCUUCCCGGGCUCCGGCCCGGGGCGGGAUUGCCGGGUCCUGGGGUCAUGCCGUGCCCGCCUGCCUGAGGAGCUGCCAGACUUUUCCACUGCAGCGGCUCCGCCUCACGUCCCCGCCAGCGGGCCCUGGGGGCCCCCAUUCUCCACAGACUCGCCGAUGCUUGGGGUUUUCCGUUUCUUACCUGAAAGCCGCCUGCGUGCCUGGACGGGGUUCGGUUCCCUCAACAAGCGGCGCGGACCAUCCUCCCACAUGCCGCGGUCGUGCUGUGCCUUCGAAGAAAUGUCUGAACCUAGUCCUUCGCAGUUUUCUUCAUUGUGGGCCUCUUCUGAAGCUGCUUCUGUGGAUCUCAGGAUAGUUUUCCUCCGUCCCCUGCUUCUUCAGUGUUUCCCGAGCCGCUGGUUGAGCUUCUGCCGGUGAGGCUGUCACUCCCGCCCGCACACAGCCUCCCACAGCCCGUCAGCACCCCCGCCCCUGUGAGGUUUGCCUAGCGCAGCACUGGCCCCCUCUGCCGACCUCUGCAAGGGUCCGUGCUCGGGUCAGCCGCCCUCCCUGCCUGGCCACUGGCUCUCUGGUCUUUGGGAAGCAUUUGGCCCCCAGGGCCUCCCGACUCCCGCGGAUCCAAGAAAGGCUGUUGCUUUUUCAGUGUUCAGCUGUUUACUUGCCAGGACAGAGUGGCAGCUUCCAAGCUCCUGACGUGUGGGAAGUAAAACCAAAGUCCUUGCUUCAUUUUGAGGCUCUUGUUUGGUGCUUAAACCUUCAGGGAUGUUAAAUGUGUCUUGGUGUACAACACAGUGACUCCAGUUCUGUAUCUCUCACUCCCGCCUCGUGUUGCCAUUGGUCCCUGCAUGGUUACGGUAUUACCGACUAUGUUCCCUAUGCUCUGCCUUUCACCUUCUCGACUUAGUUUAUAACUGGAAGCCUGUACCUCUUACUACCCUUCAACUGCUCCACCCAUUCCCCACCCUCUGGCGGCCACCAGUUUGUUCUGUGUAGUUCUGGGUCUCUUCGUUGUUCAUUUGUUUUCUUUUUUAGAUUCCAUAUAUGAGUGAAAUCAUAUGGUAUUUAUCUCUCUCUUACUCAUUUGACCUAAUACCCUCUAGGGCCAUCCAUGUUGUUGCAGAUGGCAAGAUCUCAUCCUUUGUUCUGGCUGAAUAGUAUUCCAGUGUAGAUCAUUCUCAUCUCGUGGACCUGGUCAUCCGCAGGUGGGCACUUGGGCUGCUGCCACAGCUUGGCUGCUGUAACCGUCCUACAGUAAACAUAAGGGCACAUACAGCUUUUCAAAUUACUGUCUUUGUUUUCUUUGGGUAAAUAACCAGUAGUGGAAUUCCUGGAUCAUAGGGUAAUUUCUCUAUUUUUUAACUUUUUGAAGACCAUCCCUACUGUUUCCCACACUUUACAUUCCCACCAACAGUGCAGGGAAGUUCACUUUUCUCCGGAUCCUCACCAACACUCGUGACUCCUUGUCUUUUUGGUAACGGUCAUCCUGACACGUGCGAGGUGAUCUCUCAUUGUAGUUUUGGUUCGAGGUACCCUCACGAUUGUUGAUGAGCAUCUUACUGGUGAAGGAUAGGAGAAAUGCAGGCCUGGACAAGAAGCCCCAGCCACCCUAUAGAGCAAACCACUGUUAAAAGGAUUUACACCACCCUGGAAGGAGCCCUCCACUCUUUUCCCUCUUUCCCACUUGAAUGGACAAAAACCUGACUGGGUGACAGGCAUGGGGAGGGUUAAUCAGAUUAAAACAGCCCUGUGGACAACCUGAAAAAACCCCUUAGAUUUAGAAACUCCGGUGGCAACCCUCUCGGGUGGCCUCCCUCUUUGGGAGCUUUGUACCGUUACUCAGUGAACUUUGCUGACCUCCACUCUUCAUCUGGUCCACCUGUCCGUUCUUUGAAGUAGCGGGACCAAGAGCCACAUGCACUGAAGGAGAAGCCACCGGUAAUAUUUUCAUGUGUCUGUUGGUCAUCUGUGUCUUCUUUGGAGAAAUGUCUAUUCAGGUCCCCCGCCCACAUUUUAAUCAUAUUAUUUUGGGGCGGGUAGGUUGUAUAAGUUCUUUCUUUCUUUUAGACGCUAACUCGUUAUCAGACAUAUCAUUUGCAAAUGACCUCUCUCAUUCAGUACGUUGCCUUUUUGUUUGUUGAUGGUUAACUUUGCUUUCCAGACUUCUGUUUUGGUGUAGUCCCCAAAGUUUAUUUUUGUUUUUCUUGCCUGAAGAGACACGUUCAUAAAUACGUUGCUGUGACUGAUGUCCAAGGAGUUACUGCCUGUUUUCUUCUAGGAGUUUUAUGGUUUCAGAUUUCACAUUUAGGUCCUAAACCCAUUUUGAGUUUAUUUUUUAAUGUGUAGAACAAGAAAGUGGUUCAGUUUUCCCAAAACCAUUUGUCGUCUUUUCCCCAUUGUGUAUUUUUGCCCCGUUUAACUGGGUUUAUUUCUGGGCUCUCUUCUGUUCUAUUGGUCUCUGUGCCUAUCUUUGUGCCAGUACCGUACUGUUUUAUUACAGCUUUCUAGACGAUCUGGAAAUCUGCCAUUUUGAUACCUCCAGCUUUGUUGUUCUUAAGAGUGCUUUGGCUCUUUGUGGUCUUUUGUGGUACAGUACAAAUUUUAGGACUUUGUUCUAGUUCUGUGAAAAAUGCUGUCUGUAUUUUGCUAGGGAUUGCACUAAAUCUAUAGAUUACUUUGGGCAGACUAUAGACAUUUAACAAUGUUGGUUCUUCCGACCCAUGAGCAUGAAAUAUCUUUCCAUUUAUUUGUGUCAUUUCACUUGCCUUCAUCACUAUUUUAGUGUUCAGAGUACAGGUCUUUCACCUCCUUGGUUAAAUUUAUUAUUCCUAGGUUUUUUAUUUUUAUUUUUUUUAAGGAUUUUUAUUUAUUUAAGAGAACAAACACAAGCAGGGGGAGUGGCAGGCAGAGGGAGAGGGAGAAGCAGCCUCCCUGCCAAGUGGGGAGUCCUACGUGGGUCUUGAUCGCAGGACCCUGAGAUCAUGACUGAGCUGAAGUCAGACACUUAGCCGAGUUAGCCACGCAGGUGUCCUGGUAUUUUAUUCUUUUUGAUGCAUUUGAAAAUGCGACUUUUAAAAAUUUCUGACAAUCUCUUUUAAUUGGCAUGUUUAAGCUGUUUAUAUCUAAUGUAAUUAUUGAUGAUUCUGCCAUAUUUUUUGCUUAGUUCAUGUUUUUCUUCCCUUUGGUUUUAUGUUCCCUGCCUCCUUUUGUAUUAUUCGAAAGAUUUUUUGCAUUCCAUUUACCUUUUAGCUUUUUGUUCAGUAUUAUUAGUGAUUGCACUAAUGAUCACAAUAUUCUAAGUAGUUUUUCAGUCUACUUCAGAAUUAGUGUUUCACCACUUCAAGUGAAAUGUGGAGACCCUUUAAGUAAACCUUUGCCUUCCUCCUCUAUAUUGUCAUUUUGCCAAUAUAACAUCUGCAUACACUGAAAACCCUGAAAGACAGUAAUUGUUAUAUUGCAAAGUCAGACAUCUUUUAAAGAACUUGAGAAGAAACAUUAGUGUAUUUGCCCAGAUCUUUCCAUUUCUGCUGAGUUUUCUUCAUUCCUUAAGUUCCAGGUUUCUCUCUGCCAUUUACUUUUUGCCUGAAGAACGUCCUUUAACAUUGCCUUCUGAGAGUUCCCAUGGUUCAGGACUCUUAGUUUUCCUUUGUCUAGGAGUAUCAUUUCAUCUGUAUUCCUGGUAUUUUCUGUGGACAUAGUAUUCUAGAUGGAUGGUUACUUUCAGCCUUAAUAACUUCCCAGUCAUAUGGCCUCUUCGGUUUCUGAGGAGAAGUCUGUAGUUAUUCACAUUGUUACUCUGUGUAUAAGGAGUCACUUUUCUUUGGCCGCUUUCAAGAUUAAAAAGCUUCAGUUUCAUUGGUCCAUGGUGUUUUGACAUAGUUUUGAGUUUAACUUUUUGGGGUUUACUGAGCCUUGUGAAUCCGUACAUUCGUCUUUUGUCAAAUUUGAAAUAUUUCCAAUCAUUUUGUGAAAGAAGUUUUUUUUACACCAAUGUCUUUCUCCUUUUGCUGGGAAUCCAAUAAACACAUACAUGAAGUCUUUAUAUGUUGUCCCGCAAGUCCCCGAGGCUCCGUUUGUUUCUGUUUCCAAAUGUUUUUGUUUACCCACUGUAUUUUUCACUUUAAAGUUUAUAACUUUUGGUUUAUUUCAAGAGCAUUUGCUCUUCUUUCAUGGAGUAUGGUUAUAAUAAAACAUAUUUAUAUAAAAGUUCUAAUUAUCGUCUUCUGAGUAUUCCAACACAUUUAAGUUGACAUGUGUUAACUUUCUUUUCCUUUUAAAGACGUUCCUGGCUCUUCGAAUGGUGAGUAACUGUGGAUUGUAUUCUGGACAUCUUUAAUAUCGUGAGACACUGAGUCUUAUUAAAAUCCUUUAGAGAAUGUUGUUGGAAGCAGGCAAAUAAUCUAUGUUCAGACUGAACGUGCUGAUCUGCCCCGAGUGGGCUGUGGUUCUGGUAUCCGUUGUUUACCAAACCCACGCAGGGUUCUUUGGGUCUAUGCCUGUGGGCACCACCAGGGACCAAUCUCUACAGUCAUUCACUUCAUAGAGUCUCUACUUCCUCAGGUCAGUUCCAGGCACAUGCAGCUCAGGGUGAACCCAGGUAUCAUACGGGCCUUAGGGGAUCUUCCCAUAUUUCCAUUUUCCAGAUACUGCUUGCUUUUCCCAGUUCUUUGGCUAAAAAAGUUCAGGUUUUGCCUCCUUGCGGUGCUGCACACUGUGACUAGGUCCAACUUGGGGCCAAAGUUGAGGACCCAAGGAAGGAAAAACAUCACAGGGAUUCUUCCUUCCACACACACCCUCUUUGGCAUGUACAGGUGUCCCCUUUUCCGGUCCCUCUUGUCUGAGUACUGUGUGUCCAGAGCCGGUCCCUGCAUGCAGGCGUGCAGCUUCAUGACCUCCCGAGUCCACGGGCCCUUCCCAUGCUCUGCCAAGUGGAGAGGGAGUGUCCCUCAGUACUCUGUCUUCUGGUUCUAAUGUGCAGUUCCGGUGUUCAGGCUCUCCAGGAGAUACAAGAGGGGAAAAUAUGGGGAAAUCAUCACUAUAGUGUUUGUUCCUGGAGUUUUAAUCUCCCAGCCCCAAUUUGCCUGCUACUGUUUUUCAGAGAACUGGGAUAAUUGCUUUAUUAUUUAAGGGCUGUUAGUUGUAACCCCUGGGAAGACAUAGGGCAGACCGUGCCUACACUGUGGGGAGCUCUGAAGGGCAUUUCCAAACUCAGGCAAUUUGUGCCCACAGGUUUACCCGUGUCCUCAGAGCUCCCGAGACCCUGGUUAACAUCUGGUGUUUCUGUGGACAUAAAUGUGGAGGGAGCAGUCGUGGUAAGUCUGUGCAGCGCAGCAUGUCACAGAAGCCUGCGAGUGCUGGCCGGCGGCCUACGGUGUGACUAUGCCCCGUGGUCCUUACACCUCCAUCUGUGCCUGAACGCAUCGCAGGGCAACUGCAGGUGGGUUCACAGCACGCCCUGAGGUCUACACUGCAGAUGAAACGUGGCCCUGACUGAGGGGGGCUCCCUCGAGCGAGCAGUGCUUUUCCUACGAGGGAAGACCUCCCAUUAGCGAACGGUUUCCUUUCUCUGAAGGCUCUUCCCUUCAUCUUUUUCCUGGACAAAGGUAGUUUAUCCUCUCGGGUAGCUGUCACCUCUCUUUUGACAUAGUUCAGCCUCAAGGUGAACCUAAUGAAUUACCAGAGGAACACUGCCUGAGAGAAGCGGGGCUAAGGCCGGACACAGCUUCAAGCAUCGGCAAACACGGCGCGGGCAGAUCUCCAACAGUCCGCCAUGCUGCUUCCUUGUGUGAGGGAAAGUGUCUCCGUGUAGGAACGAAGCCCCCCCCCCCCCGCCGAGCUCUGUCCUUGAGCCCUAAGGUGCCACUUCUCUGAGCUCCCACGGAGCCUUGUGCCAUCCUUCUUGGUCACUCCUCCUUCCCCCGCUGCCCAGGGUCUACAAGCUCCAGGACACCAGCUGUCCAGGGCACGGGCAUUCUGGUGGCUGGACGGUCAUCGUGUUAGAACGUGGAGCUCACAGAGCCAUGUGCCUCUUUAGGUGAGACUCAUCCCGUGGCAGGAUAAAUCUCUGUUGUUUGCAGUGAUCCUGAUUCUUAGAUUGAAGGCCAAGUCUGUAGAAGAAACGACAGCAACAACCACAACCUCAAGUAGGUUGCACAGCUGCGGGUCACAGAUGAAAAUCAGACUCUAUGACCGUUGCCUGCAACGCCCUGUGCCUCUUCCUCGUGGAAACACUGAACACCCCUUUCUGGUGGCAGAGCGGACACCCUGGUCAGCUCAAGCAGCUCCUUUGUAAUUUGUUCCAGUGCUCUAGGCCUUUGGCAUGCUGAAGGCAGCAAAAAAAAAAAAAAAAAAAAAAAGCUUGCCUCAGUUUAUCAAAAUGACAAUGAUACUCUCUUAAAAUUAGUAAAAAUAUUUUAUUGAAUUUCAGGAACUUGGUAAUUUUACUUGUCAAAUCUUUGCACACAAAUUACCACUAUACUUUCUAAGGUUGUGGAGGUCAGGAGUGGAAGAUUGUCACUUAUUGCCUUGUGUCACACAGCACAGAGAUCCCGAGUCCUGGCCCUGCCCUGCCCCUUCUGACCGUGGCUCAGGGUCUACGUUGUUGUUCUAGGGACGACGGCCAAGGGGGUGGUGUCUUCAAGGAGCUCAGCUGCUCACGUGGAGACUGACGCCGCCAGAGUGAAGCUGGAUCCGAAAUCAUGCCCGGACUCCUCAGAACAUGCCUGUCAUGUGGCUCACACGGGAGUUUUUUCGUGGUUUUGUUUGGUUCAGGGCAAAGCUGUUGAAGUUCCUAGUCCCUCGGGGGCUCAGAAGUUUGGCAAAGAUCAAAGCAGAAACCUCUUCAAGUAACAUGCGGGAGCAGCGGCGAAUCUGUUGAAGGGCCCCAGGCAGCAAGUAGGGUGGGAGGGACGCGGCCUCGGUGACCCGGGGUGUGGUGAGGGCGCUCGGAGUCAGAGCUAAACGGAACAUUUUUAAGAGCUCUGGGCUAUGGCUCUGUUCAUCCGUGGUUUUUCCUGCCCUCCUUGAUAUUCUUACAUUCCCAAGUGCCAGUCGAUGAGCCAACGGAACGAGGCAACCGGAGCAAAAAGGCCCCCGAGGCCUCUGGAAAAGGCACACGCCAGCUACUUUACACCAACAAACUAGCCGCCUCUUUAUCAAAAUUUGAGAACUGGAAGCUUUUUUUUUUUAAACCUACAAUCCCAGCCUCUGGAGUGUCUUGUGUUUUAGGCUCGGAAAUGACCAUGUGAGGGACUGGGCUUCCUUAGGGAGCAUCUGCCCGUCUUUCUGGAUGGUGACAGGGACACGGCUGUGUAGACACAUCUCCAGGAGGACAUACGAUGCGUUUGCCCAAUCCAGAGUUCCUGCUGGGGUCAGUCCUGACCACUCACCUGCCCAGAGCUCAGGCAGGGCCUACAGAAGCCACAACUGGCAGGUCCGGACCACUCAGUGGAGCGACCGGACUGUCCACAAGACACAACUGCAGCCCGAGUUACUUUGCAAAUUGCAAACUUUGAGUAAAAAGACAAAACUAUACAUCCCCAGGUGUCUGUAAAGUGCCCGGAAGUUGCAGACCGCUGCCCUGAGGUGCUCAUGCAGCGCGCAGCUCAGAUCUGGCUACUGUCACACACGGUAUCAUCCCCAUGAUGGUUUCGUUUUUAUUCUUCUAAAUGGCUGAGUUAGAAAUCCAGCUAGUGUGCAGUCAUUUCAUAAUUUUUAAUGCGCAUCAUCUGCAGUAACACUGUGACAGCUCCAUACUGGGGGUGACA